rnacentral:rRNA from 1 species
UGGGGAAUCUUGCACAAUGGGGGAAACCCUGAUGCAGCGACGCCGCGUGAACGAUGAAGCCCUUCGGGGUGUAAAGUUCUUUCAACAGGAACGAUAAUGACGGUACCUGGAGAAGAAGCUGCGGCUAACUACGUGCCAGCAGCCGCGGUAAUACGUAGGCAGCGAGCGUUGUUCGGAGUUACUGGGCGUAAAGAGUGCGUAGGCGGUUUUCUAAGUUCGGUGUGAAAUCUCCCGGCUUAACUGGGAGGGUGCGCCGAAGACUGGGAAGCUGGAGUGUGGGAAAGGCAGGCGGAAUUCCUGGUGUAGUGGUGAAAUGCGUAGAUAUCAGGAGGAACACCGGCGGUGUAGACGGCUUGCUAGACCAUAACUGACGCUGAGGCACGAAAGCGUGGGUAGCAAACA